ACAUCAGGGAAAGGAAUCUGCUGUUGGUCUCACUCCGGAGUUCAUAACAUAGCUGGUGGGCACAGAAUGCCGCCUCUGCCUGUG
rnacentral:pre_miRNA from 1 species